rnacentral:rRNA from 1 species
GACGAACGCUGGCGGCGUGCCUAAUACAUGCAAGUCGAACGAAGCGGCGGGUGGGUGAGUAACGCGUGGGUAACCUGCCCUUAAGUCUGGGCUCCCAUUUGGAAGCAGUUGCUCCUACCGGCUGCUGAAGGAUGGACCUUCGAUUCAUUAGCUGGUUGGUAAGGUAACGGCUUACCAAGGCGAGGAUGCAUAGCCGAGUUGAGAGGUUGAUCGGCCACAUUGGUACUGAGACACGGCCCAAACUCCUACGGGAGGCAGCAGUAGGGAAUCUUCCACAAUGGACGAAAGUCUGAUGGAGCAACGCCGCGUGAGUGAAGAAGGUUUUCGGAUCGUAAAGCUCUGUUGUUAGUGAAGCGGUAAUCAACCAGAAAGUCACGGCUAACUACGUGCCAGCAGCCGCGGUAAUAC